rnacentral:rRNA from 1 species
GACGAACCGUGCGAACGUUAUUCGGAAUCACUGGGCUUAAAGCGCGUGUAGGCGGGAAGGUACGUCCGUCGCUGAAAUCCCCCGGCUCAACCGGGGAACGGGCGCGGAUACGACCUUCCUGGAGGGGCGUAGGGGGACCUGGAACUUCCGGUGGAGCGGUGAAAUGCGUUGAGAUCGGAAGGAACGCCCGUGGCGAAAGCGAGGUCCUGGACGCCUACUGACGCUGAGACGCGAAAGCCAGGGGAGCGAACGGG